rnacentral:piRNA from 1 species
UCCUUGUUCAGCACUUCAGUAUCCUUGUU